UACGAAGGGGGCUAGCGUUGUUCGGAAUUACUGGGCGUAAAGCGCACGUAGGCGGAUACUUAAGUUAGGGGUGAAAUCCCGGGGCUCAACCCCGGAACUGCCUUUGAUACUGGGUAUCUGGAGUCCGAGAGAGGUGAGUGGAAUUCCGAGUGUAGAGGUGAAAUUCGUAGAUAUUCGGAGGAACACCAGUGGCGAAGGCGGCUCACUGGUCCGGUACUGACGCUGAGGUGCGAAAGCGUGGGGAGCAAACAGG
rnacentral:rRNA from 1 species